rnacentral:misc_RNA from 1 species
UUCGUAGAUUUCUGAUGAGAAGAGUGAAAAACUGAUAUUGCUGUUCCAUAGGGGGCAGUGAUUGAAGUGUGAGAGGGAGUCGUGCGGAGACCAAGGGGGAGGUAGAGAGUGAAGUGGAGGUGAGAGUGAAGUGGAGGUGAGAGUGAAGUGGAGGUGAGAGUGAAGUGGAGGUGAGAGUGAAGUGGAGGUGAGAGUGAAGUGGAGGUGAGAAGAGGUGAACUGGAGGUGAGAAGAGGUGAACUGGAGGUGAGAAGAGGUGAACUGGAGGUAAAGGAGUGCAACUGAAAUUACUAUCCCCUUGGGGACAGUGUUUGAAGUGUGAGAGGGGGUCGUGCGAAGGCCAAGAAGACGGGGGUGUAGGGAUUGGCGGUGCCGAGGAAGUACCGCGGAAGUCGUGCGAUAACCAAGAUGGUUGGAGUGGUGAAGGAGUAUUGAGAUAGUCGUGCGAAGGUCAAGGGUGAUGAGGUGGUGAUGAGGAUGUCGUGCAGAGACCAAGAGGGAUAGGAUUGAGAGUGAAUGUGAGCAGUGUGUAAAAAAUUUUGUGCAUAAAAUCUUGUGUGUGUUUGUGUUUGUGCCUGUGUUUGUGUUCGUAUGCCUGUGUUUGUGUUUGUGCGUAGUGCGGUUUUGUGUUUUGUAUGGCCGAGGGUCGUGUGUUGCCAAAACCUAUUAAAAAGGCCUUCAUUUUGCCCUCUAUAUGAUUUCUCUGGUCGUUAAAAUACCCCCCCAGUUGAUACGGUUUGAAAUUCUUAGAUUGUGAUUUUUGGGAGGGGUUUCAAUGUUGCACAGUUUCAAUGCUGCGCGAGAAAUGAAUAUACAAGAAGAAAUUGUGACAGAGUGAGAACUGGUGAAGUGGGAAAUGAAAGGAAAAAUUUUGAAUGGACCCACAGGGACAUAAUAAUUCAAUACACGGCUCUUUUGGUUCAAUGCUUUUGUUUUAAACGUCUUUUUUCGGGCCAUUUUGAUUGAACCUUUUCGAUGUUUUGGGUGGCGCGCACUCUGAAAAAUAUGCGGAUUUUACGCAACUUUUGUUAGACUUUUUCAAAACGAAUAUUUUUGCAGCAGGCAAACUGCGCGGGUGCAGCAUUUUGCGGCCGGAGGUACUAUAUGAGAGAGAAAUCUCUUAGGAAUAGUGAGAGCAUUUGUGUGAACGUGAGUUCACACAAUAUACCUCCGAAUUCCGAUGGAAUAAGAAGAUUUAUAUGAAUUUUAUAUAAACUUUAUAUAAACUUUAUACAAACACUUCCUAUUUCUUGGCCCUGCGAUUUAUCGCUCAAGUCUCGGGCAGACAACGUCUCCCCGAGCAAGGUGAAACAGUGGAUUACUAGGCAAUGCCAAAAUCUACAAACUCACAGAUCUUUAGAUCUUUUUGCUACGAGUCAGUGGACAAUCUUUAAUUAAUAACUUCUUAUUAGUUAUCUGGUUG